GGUGCUACAGCAGCUGUGUGCAGAGAUCGCAGUGGAACUUUUCUGGGCUCCUCGGCACUUGUUGUCUCCGGAAUCACUGAUCCAGCUAUCCUUGAAGGUUUGGCAUGCCGGGAGGGACUUUCACUUGCUCUUGAUCUCGGGGUAGACAAAGUGGUGAUUGCAUGCGAUUCUAAGGCAGUGGUCUCGGACAUCAGGAUGGGAACCGAAGGGAGGCACUCGGUUAUUGUGAAGGAGAUUGUAACAUGGGCAAAUGAGCUUGAUGCAUGCGAUAUCACUUUUGAAGGACGAGCAUCGAAUUGGGAAGCCCAUAGUCUAGCUAAAUUUUCUAGUUCUUUAGAUUCUGGCCGCCACGUGUGGCUGGGGAUUCCCCACGAUCCCCUCAUUAUUCCUGUAAACCUCGCAACUAUCUAA
rnacentral:rRNA from 1 species